AUGGUGGUCACCAGUGGUAGAGGGAAAGGAGAGAUCGUCACAAGGUUGGGCAAAGACCGAAUUGAAAUCUUUCCCUCGCGAACGGCACAGACCAUCAUGAAGGCUCGUUUAAAAGGAGCACAGACAGGUCGAAACCUCCUGAAGAAAAACUCCGAUGCCUUAACUCUUUGAUUUCGACAGAUCCUAAAGAAGAUAAUAGAGACUAAAAUGUUGAUGGGUGAAGUGAUGAGAGAAGCAGCCUUUUCAUUAGCUGAGGCCAAGUUCACAGCAGGGGAUUUCAGCACUACAGUUACCCAAAAUGUAAAUAAAGCCCAAGUGAAAAUUCGAGCGAAGAAAGAUAUGAAGGAACUGACAGUUAUGAACUGACUGGUCUAGCCAGAGGUGGGGGACAAUUGGCUAAAUUAAAGAGGAAUUAUGCCAAAGCAGUGGAACUACUUGUGGAACUGGCUUCGCUGCAGACUUCCUUUGUUACUUUGGAUGAAGCUAUUAAGAUAACCAAUAGGCGUGUAAAUGCCAUUGAACAUGUCAUGAUUCCCCAGAUUGAACGUACCCUUGCUUAUAUCAUCACAGAGCUGGAUGAGAGAGAGCGAGAAGAGUUCUACAGGUUACAGAAAAUACAGGAAAAGAAAAGGAUUCUCAAGGAAAAGUCUGAGAAGGAGUUGGAACAACGGAGAGCAGCUGGGGAGGUGAUGGAGCCUGCUAAUCUUCUGGCUGAAGAGAAGGAUAAGGAUCUUCUGUUUGAAUAAUCUUCCUUGCUGAUUCUUUUGGAAACCCUACCACGGGCUUCAUUUUAGUUCACAGUGUGUAAGUUUGAUUUGUGUGGCUGUUUAUUUUUUGGCCUAAGAAUUUCACUGAUUGUAAAAUUUACCUGGGUGUCUAUUUAUGGGAUUACAUUGCAGAAUCAUGAUUCGGCAACCCUUUG